rnacentral:lncRNA from 1 species
AAAAUGCAUUUCUGUGGUAAAAAGAAAAGAGCACAGUCAUUGGACUGAGAUAGGUCUGGGUUUAAAUUCUCCUUUUUUACUUAGAGUUUAUUUGGGGAAAGUUAUUAUUCUCUGAGUCUCUCUUUUCGCAUCUGCUAAAUGGAGAUACCAUAGAAUAUCUUAGUGUUGCUGAGAGGGUUAAAUGAGAUAAUAAGUGAAAAGAGCUGAUCUAGUACCCUGCACAACAGGAUUAGUCUUCUGUGCCUUCAUAUUACUAAGAACAAGCCUCAGUAAGUAUCUUUGGCCUUUGUUUUUCUUUUAGCCUUCCUUAUACUCAGCCAAACUCUGUGUCAAGUGUAGCCCAAGUGAAGGAAGGGCUGCACUGUGUAUGUGGUCAUUUGUGCUCAGGAAAAGUGGGUGUUUGAGACUGUGAUUUAGAAUAGUGUUCUUCUGUUAUGCCUUCAAUAUCUAUGACAUACUCAGGCAUGUUUGAGAAAUUAUAGCUAUGCUUUCCUUCCUCUCUGUUUGAGUUGAACACGUAAUAUCUCUCUCAUCCUUGCUUUUCCAGGAAUUCCCCAGCCCUUCGACCUACACACUUCCCUGCCUUUUACACAGUCAUUGUGGGAGCCGCGGUGCACAUACAUCUGUUCAGAUGCCCCCAGGUCACAGAAGAGUUGCGCAGAAAUGAAACCCCAGCUCAAGAACCUAACUCAAUCCACGUUUAACUGGACAUGUCUCAGGUGCGCGUGUGUGUUCCUGCCUAACAGUCAGCGAUUAGGUGCCUAAGCUGAGUCUGAGCUCAGCAGCAAAAAUGCACAAGCAUCAGAUUUGCGCCAUGUGGCAAGAUGGACCGAUGCAAGAAAGUUGUUUGGGUUUGGCUCAGCCUCGUGUGGUCUGAACUGUUGACGUCUUCACAGAUAAUCCACGUGUGAGAAGGUACGCUGAACUUGUGUACUCGUUAUCAUUUCAUUCACAAAGUUAGUUGCAGAAGGGUUAAGUGAGCAAAAUAGAAGGCUGAAGAUGGAAUCCAGCUUUGGUUCUCUGAUUCUAAAUCCUAUACUUUCUCUUCGUGACCACAGUGUCUUAAAUGAGAUCAUUUCAGGUGUGUUAUUUAUAUCCCUUUAUUUCAUGUAAGUGAUGUCUUCCUGUUGUUUGGGGGUUUUUAGGCACCUGAGCUAACAACUGUUGCCAAUCUUCUUUCUUUUUCCUGCUUUUUCUCCCCAAAUCUUCCCCAGUGCAUAGUUAUAUAUUUUUGCUG